CCUACGGGUGGCAGCAGUGGGGAAUAUUGGGCAAUGGGGGGAACCCUGAUCCAGCGACGCCGCGUGAGUGAAGAAGUAUUUCGGUAUGUAAAGCUCUAUCAGCAGGGAAGAAAAUGACGGUACCUGACUAAGAAGCCCCGGCUAACUACGUGCCAGCAGCCGCGGGAAUACGUAGGGGGCGAGCGUUAUCCGGAUUUACUGGGUGGAAAGGGAGCGUAGGCGGUGCAGCAAGUCAGAUGUGAAGGGUCGGCGCCCAACCACGGGACUGCAUUGGAAACUGGUGAACUGGAGUACCGGAGAGGUUAGUGGAAUUCCUGGUGUAGCGGUGAAAUGCGUAGAUAGUAGGAGGAACACCAGUGGCGAAGGCGACUUACUGGACUGUAACUGACGUUGAGGCGCGAAAGCGUGGGGAGCAAACAGGAUUAGAUACCCCAGUAGUC
rnacentral:rRNA from 1 species